CAAUCCUCAUCUGAGUCAAAUGCAUAUGAAAAGACUUGAGAGUUACCACUGAUGUAGUCUCAUCCAAACAACCCACAAUUUGCCCCCGGCAGGCAAGGCUGCAAGCAGCCAAAGGGACAUAUGGAGGAACAGGAUCGAAAAUGCAACAGCUGUGACUUUGCUUGCAGCAUUGGAAGGCCAUCUUUGCACAACUACAAGAUUCUGGAAUGCCAACCUUCAACUGCAAUCUCCUUACACCCAAGUAGCAUCGCUUGGCACAGCUACCUGAGGCCUGCAGCACAUCACAAAGUGUGGGUAAGGACCACAGGGCUAUAUUCACAUUGCAGGGAGAAAACAUGGACGACAGAGCACAGGCUAGGCUGGAACGCCUCUGCUUGACAUGCCAGCUUUUCCACAGGCCAAAAAGGUUUCGUUUGGAACACAGGGCUCAAAUGUGACAUCCUCCAGCCACAUUCUGAAAUUACACCAUGACGAUACUGUUACACAAUUCUCCAGGACAGACAGAAUGACUCUGAGAGGUCUCCUACAGAAGAUUUAGGACAAAGAAGGGCUAAACAGGUGUGUGCACCUGUUUCCAUUCUUGCCAGCUCUAUCAUGUUACACAGAGCACUGGCAACCAUUGCAUUCAGCCGCGUGCACCAGUUCAGACUUACUUGGCUGGCGAAAACACAAUGGGAGCAAAGGUAAAUACAUCCUGGGAGAACAGCACUCAUUUCCUUUUCUGAGAACACAUGUGGUCUUUCAUCUAUCAGUUCUUCAGCAAUGCUAUUUAUUCCUGAAAAGACCAAGAGAGAGAGAAAUAAUUAUGCUUUAAGAACAGAGAUGAAAUUUAGAAAGAAACAAGGGCGGGGAGAUGCUGCAAAUGUCAUCAGCAACAACUGUAAAUGGCAGCAGAAGACUAGCUGUAUGCUGCCAUUCAGGAAUGCCUCUUUGCACAGAAGAAAUUAAACAAAAUAACUCACACAGGAGAGGGAAAUACCACCCCACAAUGUGGUGGGGAAAACUGCAAAGAACCCAUUUUAAAUUUAACAGGUCACAUAGGCAGUUGCCAGCUGGCUCUGCUCCUGCCCCACUUCCUGAAGAUAAUAGAAACUUCUGCCAGUCCAUUCAAUGCCUCAGCUCCAUUCCUGCUGAGAAGGAGCAGCAAGCUGCCCCAGAGAGACCACACUGCUCCAGAAAUGCAGAAACAUCUGAGCUAAGCAGCAGCAGCCAGGCUAGCGGAAGGGUGAGGAUGGCAGGUCCCUUCCAGAAGAAAAUGACACAACUUUCCAAAUUAGGGCCUUCAGGCACAACAUUCAGGGUCAGGCAAUAUUAUAACCUAUACUCAAGGAGUCAAGUAUGCACUGUGGUUGAAUGUGAGUUAUCAUGUUGCCUAAACCCAGUUGCGAUAACAAGCAAUUGUUCAUUAACUAUGAACAUUUCAGACUUCAUAACCCAACAACAAAUCAUGGGUUCUCUUCAUGGGUUAAUCAUGGUUAACACACCAAAUUGUUAGUGCUGCUGGGUUCAGACAACAUAAGUCACAUUUCAACCACAAUUCGCAGUUCAACAGCAACCUAUACUCAAUGUUGGACUAUUGCUUAUCAUGUUGUCUGGGCCCUGUGUCACCCAUUACUCUAGGGAACAACUGGAGACCCUGGCUGGUUUUCAUAAAAAUCAGGAUAUGGUCACAUCUCCCUAGGACAGCAGCCAUGUGUCCCAGUGAUGUAGUCCUUAGCAGCCCCUUUCCAGAAACUCCUACUGGUAGGGCGACUGUCUUAUCUUGUUUUCAGAUUAUUUCCUGCAGUUUAGCAUGUGCAACCAAUUCCAACCAUCACCCUUCCUGCAGAGGUUAUACCAGAGAAGGGCAACCUGUGGCCCUCAAAAUUUUUGACAAUUCUGAUCAUUUCUCACCCUUGCCUAUGCUAGCUAGGGCUGGUGGGAGAUGUAGGCCAAAACACCUGGAGAACUGCAGGUUGUUUAUCCCUGGGCUACAUUCUGCUCCUCAACUUGACAGAAGCCCAGUGCCACUGCUGACAGGUGGAAAACAAAGGAUCAAAUUCUGCAAAACCUGACAUGAAACUUGUGGGACCUACUUUAUUUUUAUUAGGCCCAUAAGAUCCAUCAGUUUGGAGCCUGUUGAAAAAGAACUACCCUUAGCAUUAAAGAAUAGCCCAGGAAUGUGUUUUGACUAGACCAAUGAACCUGAACGGGACUCACAUUCCUCCUGUACAUAAAAUUCCACUGCAAGUGUUCUUCAUUUCAAUUUAUGGUGAUGGGACGGUAGGGACAGAGGCAGGAGGAAGAAGAGUAACCUGGUUGCUACUAUUGUUAAGUAAAAUAGGGAGUCAGAGAUCCUUGCUGAUCUACUGCAAAUCACCCCAAGAUCAGUCAGUUCUACUUUCUGCCACCCUGAGCAAGGCACACUUUGCCUGUGAGAAGCAUUACAAAUCUCAACACAGAGACUUCCACAACAAAUCUAGUGCACCAGACUAGAGCUGAACAUUAGUUUUGCCUUUACAUCUGUCCUCUGCCUCUCAAGGGAUCUGGAUGCUCCAUUUGGUUCUGGAGACAGGUUCAAGUAACUGCUGGCAUUUGAAUAACUUUGGUGAGGCAGAGAAAGAAAACAACUAUCACCACAUAUUUUUCCCAGCAGUGCAUGGUCAGUUGUGCACCUAGCAGGGCCUAGUCCAGCCUUCCACAACCUAGUGUCCCCCAGAUGUUUUGGACUACAACUGCCAGAACACCAGACCAUUUGGUCAUGCCACUUGGGACUCAUGGGGAAUAAAAUCCAAAAUGUCUGGAAGGCACCAGAUCAGAAUAGGCUGGCCUAUGUAUCACCUUUUUAAAACUGUUAUAAAAGGCAAACACACCUUGAGUAAACUUCCAACCUGAUAAAGAGCUCUGAAGAGUUCAGAUGCUCACCUGCUAUUUCAUGAAACUUCAAUAAACCAUUGUCAUCAUCAACAUCCCAUUAUGUUUAUAUCCUGAUUUCCUCCCUCUUAAUAAAGGUAUCACCCUCUUACAAUGUUCAUAUUUUGUUUCAUGGGCCAACGUAGCUAUGGAUAAAUUUUGCAUACUUUCCUUAUCCUCUUUCUGUGAUACCACCCGAUGGCAUCAGAGAACUAAGUUGCCUCAACACUUCCCAACCUGCCAUACAGAGAAGAAAUACGCAGAGGAUAUAGAAUCACACAAACUGCUCAACCUCCAGGUUGACUUUAAUGCUGUUUUGACCCAUCCCCUGAAGAGAAGUGAGAGCUAUGAAAAGAAAUUAAUUGUGAAAUCCAGGGUUUUGGUGUAGCUGUGAUUAGGUAGCAGCAUGGGUUCUUCCCCCAACACAGAGAGAAAGUAAUAUCAAUAAAGGAGUUCAGGUUUGAACCCACAAAGUAUGGGGUGAGGCAGGGGAUAAUUUUUAAUUGGGUAUUUUAGGAUGCAAUUCAAUGCAUGCUUAGAUGGAAAGAAGUCCUACAACUUCCAUCAUCCCUCAGCCAGCAUGAUUUGCUCCAUGCAAAUCAAUAGAGCCCAAGGCUUCUGCCUGAAACAAAAUGCUAAAGUUUGGUUAGAAGCUAGCUAAGGCAAACUAAUUAGAUUGAUCUUUGAGAGAUGCUUUACAAAGAAAAUUAGACAGCCUAAAGCUGCACCUUUAUUUAUUUGGCUGACGUUAGGACAACACGAGCAAAAGCUUUGCCAUAAUUUGGCUGCUAAAAGUCUGACACUAUAAGAACAGUUUUAGACUUAAGAUGAGUUUCCUGCUCCAAUCAGGAAUCCUUGUUACAAAUCUUGCUUUCCAUACACACCUUAAAAAGGCUAAUGUCCCUGUCCUGAAAGACCUGUCCUUUGGAGGUACACUCUUAAAUAUGCUAACUGUUUACCUUUCUUUCUCUGUAUUAUCUCAACCCCUUGUUUUUGUUUUUCAUUAUUAAUGUGUCUCUGGCAUACUAUGUAUGUGACCCCUCCACCCCUCCUCUCAGUAUAUAACUGAUAUGUUAUAAAAGCAUCUUGUCCAUCUUGGUUGUCCCUUCCGGGGUGCCAACAUGUAGCAUGUACGAGUAUUUCCUGUAUGUCUGAAUAAACUAUAAAUGUUCUUUUGAUUUA